rnacentral:rRNA from 1 species
UACGUAGGGGAGCAAGCGUUGUCCGGAAUCAUUGGGCGUAAAGCGCGCGUAGGUGGCCUCAUAAGUCCGCUGUGAAAAGUCAAAAGGCUCAACCUUUUGAAAAGCCGGUGGAUACUGUGAGGGCUAGAGUACGGGAAAGAGGGCGAGUGGGAAAUUUCCCUGGGUGUAGCGGGUGGGAAAUGCGCAGGAUAUCAGGGAGGGAAACACCCGAUAGCGAAAGGGC